rnacentral:rRNA from 1 species
GAUGAACGCUGGCGGCGUGCCUAAUACAUGCAAGUCGAGCGAACAGACGAGGAGCUUGCUCCUCUGACGUUAGCGGCGGACGGGUGAGUAACACGUGGAUAACCUACCUAUAAGACUGGGAUAACUUCGGGAAACCGGAGCUAAUACCGGAUAAUAUAUUGAACCGCAUGGUUCAAUAGUGAAAGACGGUUUUGCUGUCACUUAUAGAUGGAUCCGCGCCGCAUUAGCUAGUUGGUAAGGUAACGGCUUACCAAGGCAACGAUGCGUAGCCGACCUGAGAGGGUGAUCGGCCACACUGGAACCGAGACACGGUCCAGACUCCUACGGGAGGCAGCAGUAGGGAAUCUUCCGCAAUGGGCGAAAGCUUGACGGAGCAACGCCGCGUGAGUGAUGAAGGUCUUCGGAUCGUAAAACUCUGUUAUUAGGGAAGAACAAAUGUGUAAGUAACUAUGCACGUCUUGACGGUACCUAAUCAGAAAGCCACGGCUAACUACGUG